rnacentral:rRNA from 1 species
GAUGAACGCUGGCGGCGUGCCUAAUACAUGCAAGUCGAGCGAACAGACGAGAGUGCUUGCACUCUCUGACGUUAGCGGCGGACGGGUGAGUAACACGUGGGUAACCUACCUAUAAGACUGGGAUAACUUCGGGAAACCGGAGCUAAUACCGGAUAAUAUUCAGCUUCGCAUGAAGCAAUAGUGAAAGACGGUUCUGCUGUCACUUAUAGAUGGACCCGCGGUGUAUUAGCUAGUUGGUGAGGUAACGGCUCACCAAGGCAACGAUACAUAGCCGACCUGAGAGGGUGAUCGGCCACACUGGGACUGAGACACGGCCCAGACUCCUACGGGAGGCAGCAGUAGGGAAUCUUCCGCAAUGGACGAAAGUCUGACGGAGCAAUGCCGCGUGAGUGAAGAAGGUUUUCGGAUCGUAAAACUCUGUUGUAAGGGAAGAACAAGUACGUUAGUAACUGAACGUACCUUGACGGUACCUUACCAGAAAGCCACGGCUAACUACGUG